rnacentral:rRNA from 1 species
AACGAACGCUGGCGGCAUGCCUAAUACAUGCAAGUCGAACGCACCGUAAGGUGAGUGGCGCACGGGUGAGUAACACGUGGGAAUCUGCCUAGCAGUGGGGAAUAACCAAGGGAAACUUUGGCUAAUACCGCAUACGCCCUUCGGGGGAAAGAUUUAUCGCUGUUAGAUGAGCCCGCGUCCGAUUAGCUAGUUGGUGAGGUAAUGGCUCACCAAGGCUACGAUCGGUAGCUGGUCUGAGAGGAUGAUCAGCCACACUGGGACUGAGACACGGCCCAGACUCCUACGGGAGGCAGCAGUAGGGAAUAUUGGACAAUGGGGGAAACCCUGAUCCAGCAAUGCCGCGUGAGUGAUGAAGGCCUUAGGGUUGUAAAGCUCUUUCGGCGGGGACGAUGAUGACGGUACCCGCAGAAGAAGCUCCGGCUAACUUCGUGCCAGCAGCCGCGGUAAUACGAAGGGGGCUAGCGUUGUUCGGAAUUACUGGGCGUAAAGCGUGCGCAGGCGGUUGUACAGGACAGGUGUGAAAUCCCAGAGCUCAACUCGGGAACUGCCUUUGAAACUGUGAGACUCGAGUGCNNCAGAGGUGAGUGGAAUUCCCAGUGUAGAGGUGAAAUUCGUAGAUAUUGGGAAGAACACCGGUGGCGANNNUCACUGNCACGUUACUGACGCUGAUGCACGAAAGCGUGGGGAGCAAACAGGAUUAGAUACCCCGGUAGUCCUAGC